GGGAAGGGGUGCGCAAGAGGGAGGAGAGGAGGAGAACAGUUGUCAGUCAAGGAGGGAACCCGGCGUGUGAAGGCUGUGGGGACGGUGUGGAGGCAGCGGAGACACUUGUCGUUCAGGUGACGGUUACGGAAACGAGGACUUGCGCACUCCCUCCCCUUUAAUUGCCAUCAUCAGGCUCCGAGUCGCCCUCCGUGAACGACUCGCUGAUGGGGACAGAGCUGGGCGGAAACACAGCCGGCAUCGAUGCCCUGGAGGGAGGACUGUCAUCGGAGCAGGGUUCGGUGAUGUGUGGUGGUGGCACGGUGCGGCGGUGGUGCUGUGGUGGCGAGUGCUGGGCCUCCUCAGGGACCCCAGUGACGUGGCCUCCCCCCAGAACCUCGCCCAGAUCUUGAAGCAUUUUUCAGAGCUCAUGGAGACACCGGUGAAGCUGAGCAACAAUUACCAGAGCAUCUCCCCGGACACUCAAAGCAGCCCGGAGCCGCCAGAGCUCAUCCUGCCCCACACACAUGGUGGCUCCUUGCUGCUUCAGGGAGGUGGUCAACGCGCUGGUGGCCGAGUGUGGGCCUGCAACUGGCUUCUUCUCGCUGGGUCUGCCGGGGUCGUCAGUACCCACCCUGGACUCCAUCUUUGCCACCAGCACCGUCACCACCUCCACCGAUGCCAAAGUUCAAUCACCUAAAAUGGAAGCCCUAGGUCUCUGCUUGGGUCCCUGCUGCCGCUGUGGUCACUCUCCCCGCCCCUGCCCGUGCUGCAGCCCUCGGCCUGUGACCUCACCCUCAUGAACUGCUCCGACGUGAAGGAUCACUUGGUGAACGUACUGCUGAAAAGUGGAAAGUGUGACGGGUGGUGGCGGACAAGAUCGUUGGCCCACUCCACCUUGGCCAUCCACUUCUACCACGAGUUGGCCCACCAGACACUCCACACCAAGGUUAACAAGGCCAUCAUUGUGCUCCAGGCAUACCUCAAGGUGUCAGUGUGCUCCAUCCUGUGUCCCAGCAAAGGUUCUAAUUCCACCUCUCCAUCUGGUUCUCUGUCAGGUGUUAGUGUGCUCCAUCCUGCCCCAGCAAAGAUAAGAGACUUCCAGCGCUGGGCCCGGCCGCUGCAAGCCUUGUUGGGUCAGUGUGUGGGAAGUCACCAAGGUGGAGUUUGAGGCGGUCGGCCUCAACCAUGAGGGCUGUGUGAGCGGCAGGCUGGCCGUGAGCCUUCCAGGGAGUGCUGGGCAGCCUGGUGCCCCGGCUGAAGGCAAGCGGCCACCCUUAGACACCCAAAGACUGGCUGACACAAGAUCUUGUGCUGGUACUGGUGGCUGCCGUGGUGCGGACACAGGCUCAGAGCGCCCAGGUGGACCAAGGCUCUGAUGCUGGUUGCCACCUGCCUGGGAGCAGACUCACAGAGGUCAGCGCAGGGCAGCAGGACAGCGCCCUCAGCAGUGACGAGGAGUCUCUCCAUGAAAGCUGUCCCUCAAGGCACAGCAGCAGGCCACCGUCGUCCCUUGUUAUCGGGAGCACCGAGUAUUCCGAGGAACACUUCAAUGUCCAGGUGUGAUGAUGUCAAGCCACCACAAGCCAGGAGGGAAGUGGCUGCUGGGGCCAAGACAGCAGGUGAAGCAGAACCCUUAAGCCUCAGCUCUUCACCCCUGGACGAAGGUGUUUCUUGGCGGACAAACUCAGGAGAGUCACCAGAAAAGACCUCGGUAGAUGAUGCAAGUUUUGCUCGCUGGAGACCACAAGAGCAUUCACCCGUGCCUCAUAUCGUGGGUGAGGAGAGCAGCCUGGACCAUCUCCCAAGAGCAAAGGAGACAAUCAUGAAAACAAAGCCCACUACUCACUGCUCCUGAAUAGAGGUCAAAGGAGUGGCCAAAAAGAGAGGUCAGUCUCGGGAGAAGAGGUGUCCAGAUACCAUCCUCUUGAAAGAGUUCAAGUCGUAAGCAGGAGGAAAUACAGAUGAAUGAAGAUUGUUCCAGAGUUUACCGGCGUGAGGAUGAAAGGUGAAGAUGCUGGUUAACUCUUGCAUAAGUGGUUUGGACAGUAUAGGGGUGAGCUUGAUUAGAAAGUCGUGUGAGGCGAGGCCGCGGGAGGGGGGGGGGGAGGCAUGCAGUUAGCAUGUUCAGAAGAGCAAUCAGCGUGAAAAUAUCGAUAGAAGAUAGAAAGCGAGGCAAUUUAUUCACAUGUGGCCAUAGUAGUAGAAGAAGCAGUUGAAGUGGCAGUAGUAGUAGCAGCAGUAGUUGUAGUAGUAGUAGUAGUAGUAGUAGUAGUAGUAGUAGUAGUAGUAGUAGUAGCAGCAGCAGAAAUAGCAGUAAUGAUUUAAGUAGGGGUACAGUGAAAGCAUUUUAGCAAGUCCGUUGAGGCGUUGGCUUCCUUGGGUCCUGUCCUCCCCUCCGCUCUGCCACACAGUCCCAGCACCUGUCCCUUCCUCUC